UUUUUUUUUCUUUUUUUUAAUAAUUGUCUGAUGUGUUAAGGACCGUAUUCUUGGACCAGCUCUAGUAGUCACUGUGAUAGGGAUGAAGUAAGAUAGUUACACAGGUAGCUGUAGAGUCCCAGUAGGGGCCAUAGAUAGAGAGGGAAACCUAGGGAAUUUUGGGAGACCACUACAAGUUAAUGAUAGCUCAAGAAAGCUGUCAGACCAAAGCAGGCUUGCUUAACUAUAAAUCCAUAGAAGUCCAAGAUGUGCCUCAGGUGAUUAAGUGAAAGAUAAAAUGAGGCUUGCAUUCAAGUUCAGCAAGAUAAUGAUCCUUGGGACCAAGGACAGUAAUUUAAGAUAAAGAUGACCUUCCAAAGUAGGAGACCCUUAUUAUAUGGAAACCUGAGAUGAUUCAACAUAUGUUAGCAUAUAUUGCCACCCUUCUGCUGAUUGUUUUUUUUUGUUUUUUGUUUUUGUCUUUUUUAGGGCCACACUUGUGGCAUAUGGAGCGGCCCUAGAAAAGGCAAAAAGACCAAAAAAAAAAAAAAAAGAAUUGCUGAUCAGAAAUAUUAGUAACAAAGUUAGUAGGUUAUUGACUGGGUUCCAAACCCAGACCCUUUGACUCCAGAAUCUGGGCUCUGGAUACCUACACUUUAUGCCACUUUCACGGUUCACCAAGACCCUUUGUAUAUUGUCUUCUUUAUUUUCCACAGGACUUCAAAAGUUUGAUUUGAGGCUGAUAUUUGAAACCAAAUGUAUUUCUGUCUUUUCUCCUAACUGGCGAACAGGCAUUCCUGUGUGGUAAAUGCCACUUUCCUGUUGUGGUUCGUGUUCGUCGGCCAAACCUAGCACCUUCAAUUGAGUCAAAGUCAAUGAACUGCAUCUCCCCUCAGUGCCAUCAGUUCUUGAUCUCUGUUGGCAUUUUUACUUACUCACUCCUCCCUCAGGGGCUCUGAUGUCAUUUCCCUAUUCAAAGGCAUCAGAGUAAAAGGGCACUGCAGUAAGUAUAGUAUUAUGGAACCACAGAUAACAGAGGGCUGAUUGUAAGGUUACAAGCAAAUUUUCAACUACAUGGAAGGUUGGCACCUCUAACUUCCAUGCUGUUCAAAGGGUCAAGUGUACAUGAUAAGGUGCUCAUCACCACUCAUCAUCCAGGAAAUGCAAAUCAAGACCACAGUGAGAUACCACCUCAAACCAGUUAGAAUGGCUAUGAUCAAAGAGACAAAGGAUAACACAUGCUGGUGAGUAAGUGGAGAAAAGGGAGCCCUUGUGCCCUGUUGGUGGGAAUGUAAACUGGUGCAGCCACUAUGGAAAACAGUAUAGAAGUUCUUCAAAAAAUUAAAGCUAGAACUACCAUACCAUCUAGCAAUCCCACUUCUGAAUAUUCACCAAAAGGAAAUGAAAAUUGGAUCUUAAAGAGAUAUCUGCAUUCCAUGUUCACUGCAGCUUUAUUCACAAUACAAAGAUAUGGAAAAAACCUAAGUGCCCACUGACAGAUGAAUGGAUAAAGAAGAUGUAGUGUACAUAGGUAUAUAUACAAUGGAAUAUAUUCAAUCACUUUUAAAAAGAGUGAAAUCCUGCCAUUUUCAAUGGCAUGGAUAAAACCGGAGGGCAUUAUGCUAGAUGAAGCAAGUCAAGUCAUAGAAAGAUACAUACUGCAUGUUCUCCCUUAUAUGUGUUAUCUAAAAAAGCCAAACCCAUAGAAACAGAGAAUAGAUUGAUGGUUGCCAAGCACUGAGGGGUGAGGGAAAUGAGAUGCUGGUCAAGGGGUACAAACACCCAGUUAGAAGUUCUGAGGAUCUAAUGUACAGUAUGGUGACUAUAUAGAAGAAUACUGUAUUAUAUACUUGAAAGUUGUUAAGAGAAUAAAUCUUAAAUAUUCUCACCAUAACAACAAAAUGGUAAUUAUAUGAGGUGAAGGAUAGAUUAACUAAAUUUAUCAUGGUAAUUGUUUCACAAUAAAUACAUGUACCAUAACAUGUAUCAUACUAUGAUGUUGGACCAGUGUUAUAUCUCAAUUUCAUCUCAAUAAAGCUUGAAAAAAACUCCUUAGUUCAUAACAAAUAAAGUUAGUAAGUUUUGACAUUUUAGAAAAAUGGGGUCAAUAAAGGCUUAUUUCUGAAUUUUUCAAAUUCUCACAGUGUUAUAUCUCAAUUUCAUCUCAAUAAAGCUUGAAAAAAAAUUCCUUAUUUCAUAACAAAUAAAGUUAAUAAGUUUUGACAUUUUAGAAAGAUGGUGUCAAUAAAGGCUUAUUUCUGAAUUUUUCAAAUUCUCACAUAAAAACUGCCUGAGCAACAAGAAAACAAAGCCAAAAUGCUUUGAUUUACUAUAAAUUGAGGUUGCAAGAUACCCCAAGAAUCCAAGAUAUGUGAGUGAGAACAAACAACCUAGAACUGCAAGAAUGACAUACUCCUGUGUGUAGGAAGCAGAGGGAAGCUGCCUAAAAUGUCCAAAACACCCAACCAGUAAUCACCAGAAUGAGUAGAGGACCAAUGUAAGAAGAGCAGCUGAGACUGAGGGAUUCUGCACACUCCAGCAACAGUUGAGUGCAAAGGUGCUGAGUAAGGUCUGAAGGAGUGGACUCUGUCUCCCACACAACCCCACAGCUUCCUUAUAGGCAGAGCCCCACAGUGAGCAGAAAUGACUGAGAGAAUAAUCAAAAGUUGAGCAGAAAAGGGACAAGAGACAGAGAAAAAGAUAUUCCAGGAGUUCCCGUCGUGGCUCAGUGGUUAAUGAAUCCGACUAGGACCCAUGAGGUUGCGGGUUCAAUCCCUGGUCUUACUCAGUGGGUUAAGGAUCUGGUGUUGCCGUGAGCUGUGGUGUAGGCCGGCAGCUACAGCUCCGAUUAGACUCCUAGCCUGGAAACUUCCAUAUGCCACGGGUGCGGCCCUGAAAAAGACAAAAACAAAAACAAAAACAAACAAACAAACAAAAACAAAAAAACAAAAAUAAGAUGUUCCAGAUAAAAAUGGAGCACAAGAACAUGAACAAGAAAUGUCAUAAAACAAACCCUUACAUUUAAUAUUGUAAGAAAACAGUAGAAGAGUAAGCUUUGUGAAGUUACAAAAACUAUACCUUACGAAAGUUUAGGUGCAUGUAAAACUGAUUUCAUAUACAAACUUUUAAUAAUUUUUGUUGGUUUAAUUUUCUUUUUAAAUUAUAGGUGAUUUACAAUGUUGUGCCAAUUUCUGCUACCCAGUAAUACAUAUAUAUACUUUCCCAUUCUUAUUAUCUUCCAUCAUGGUCUAUCCCAAGAGACUGGAUAUAGUUCCCUGUGCAGUACAGUAGGACUUCAUUGCUUAUCCA
rnacentral:lncRNA from 1 species